GAGAGAGAGAGAGAGAGAGAGAGAGAGAGAAUAGUAUCAAAACUGAUUGCAGAAAAAUGGCAGAGAGAGCUUGUGCUCGUUCUUCCUCUCUCAGCUUUUAUGAUCUGUUUUCCAAAUUUUGUUUUCUUCUCUUGGUUCUGAUCCUUCAAAAAGGCUCAUGCGGAAGAAAUAACACUGCAUCAGGCAAAGGGCCGGUAAUUCCAGGAGACCCGCCGGGGAGCCCUGGAUGUCGUUGAUGUAAAGCAAGUGGAGGCAACCCAAAGUUGAGUCCAGGAUGCUAUUGAUGCAAGUUUAUUACAAAAAUAAGGCUACCGAAUGGUUAUUGUUGUGGUAUCCUUUGUUCGAACAGAGGUUAUCGUGCCACCACAACCGUUUCUCCACUACAUUAGAACCACAUGAACCCUAUCAGUGUGGUCAAAUCGUCAUUUAUAUGUUGUACCCAUACCUAUUAUCGUAUCAAUUCGUGUCAGCAUCAAUAUAUCGUAACUUUUACUUGACAAGUCAAAUAAUUACUGGUUAAGCUUAUUACUUCA